CGGUUUUGUGGGGGGUUAAAGCCUUCGAAAACGAAGAUCGUGCCUCUCAGGCGAGUGUUUGAGGGCCUGGUGUUUCCCCCCCUGAAGAGCCCCCGAGGGCCUUUAGCCCCCUGAGGCAAAUGGCUCCUGAGGUGCCGGCCUCCCGCUUAGGCCCAGGGAGGCUCUCCCGUAGCCUGACGCCAUCGGCCACCACGGCAACCAGGCGAACUCAAGUCAGACCUCUCAUUCACCAAUGGCCCUACGCGCUUAAAAGGUCAGAGAAAAGGCAGCUGAGAAGGAGCUACUAGAAGCUACCGGUUCACGGCUCUACGCUGAGGCUGGUCCAGGCUUGGUUUGCCUCGGUGCACACGGAGGAGCUCUGCGUGUGUGCACAGGCAGCUGGGAAACCAGCAGAACGUGUUCGUUCAUGAUGUGGUGUAGUAAAGGGUCUUCUGCAAUGUGCCCAUCCCUGUUUCUGUCUCCACCCUCAGCCGAGUCUGAGAGAGAAGAGGAAUGGAUUCAAACCCUCAUGAGCCUGUCAUCUUUGUACCCUAGCCUGUGGUGUGGACACCUACCACCAGUCCAUCUUUAGCUACAUGACACAGUGCAGAACAAGGCACCAAAACUAAGUUUUGCUACUUUUGCUUCUGACACAAGAUUAAUCUGAAUCACCCGACGCCAGGCAGAAAAUACGUCCCAUGUUUGGAGUGAGGUUUUUGGCUGCAGAAGAACAUAACAGUUCAAGCACUAAAAAAGAAGUAAGCUGGAAAAGUUAAUUUCUAUAAGCUGUUUCUAGCAGUAGGGUGCAAAGGAAACCAAACCUUAUGCUACCACCUUGUCUCAGUGACCCACUUAAGAACUUCUUUAAUCUACCAAUCACUUUCAGUCCCAUUUGACAGAAGCAGAGAUCCCUCAGAUAUGCCAUCCUACAAGUUUUAGUGGACAUUAACUUUCGCAUCGCCAGGGUAGCCUCGCAAAGGGAAAAACACUUUCAGUCUCUUAUGUGAGACUAUCUUUUAUCUAGAGGCAAAAACCCACCGCCCAGUCAGCUCAUGCCUAUCUUCAAGCAUGACAGGGAAGAUUCUGCCACUUGCCUGGCCAGGCAGAGAGGAAAUGAGAGAGUCGUGAGGGGAAGGGAAGGAAUGUGGAGAUGCAACGUCCAACCCCAUGGGAAACUGGAUUUCCACUCCUCAUAGAGCAGCAUGUUUCAGUGAAGACUGAGGUUCAGAGGUGGCCUUGCUGAGAUGCCUCUGAGCCUGGGGCACUGGGGACUAGCGUUUGGUCCAAGAUUAAACAUACCAAAACCAGCCAUGAAAUUCCAGUCCAGACCGAAUUCCUUACCACGGUUUUGAAAUGUGACCCUGUUUUCCGGAGAGUAUCACUGACCAUUUUUUAAAGCUCUGCAUAAAAUUGGCAAAAGCUCCCAAUGUUGCUGUUAAACUGCAAGAAGAAGUCUCAUCUGUUUUGCCUAGUUAACUUGGGGAUUGAUGCUGCCUUGCUGCUUUGUCUUUAAUGAAUAAAUUCUUCCUGUGAGAAGCUGAAUGCGUGCGCUACCAUUUUGACCAUCACCAGCCUUCGACUUGCCGGCUCUGAAGCUGUUCCUUCCCACAGUGACAUCACCUAGUGGAGGAAGUGAUUUAUUUUAGCACGAUGCAACUCCUUGUAAUUGGAGUCAUGUUGCUGCAACAGCCAUGGGCUCCCUCCGCGGUGCAGAACGUUUUGACGCAGUGCAAAGACUCCUCCUUGUGAUAACAAAAGAGAUACUGAGAGAUGUGCUCGACAGACCUCCAUCGCCGGGGUUAACGAAGUCUUGGGAACAACAUCCCAUACCUGGGACCCGAGAAGUUUGCACCCAACCACGCUCACCCUGCUGACCCCACCGUGCUCAGGGCUGUGGAGCUGCAAGCGUCAGCCCACGCCGGUAUGCGUCCACCUGGGUCCCGUUACCUACCAUAAACAACAGACUGAGAGCACUUCGGAGAAGGGCAAUGCCUUUUUCUUUUCCCUGCAAAGGAUCCCGCUCUCCUCUGGACGCCGCAGAAAGCUGCUCUGCCGUUUCCAAGGUGAUGCCUGGAGGUGAAGCCUGUUACAUAUUCUCUUGCAGGUAGCAGCAGCUGUAGCUGAGAGAUGCCCUUGGACAGGGCAUUGUUUGAAAAGAGGUAGGAAAAAGGCAGAAAGAAAAGAUCUAUUUAUAAUAAUUUUUUAAAGACCUGUAAGAAAAAAAGACAAAUUAGGGCAUUUAUUUUAUGAGAGGGUGAGUGUUUUCUAAUGCAGUUCAAGUCCUUGCACCUCAGAAUGAGCACUGUACCUUCAUUGUAAACAACAAAAUUAAUCAUUUGAUCCUCGUUUAGCUCCAUCCUCUAAUGUGAUGGUAACAAAUGUUGUUCAUGCCUAAUAUUUUGAGUUACCCGAGAAAGACUGAUUUUAAGUUUUUUCACUUUACAAAUUGAAAGGUGUAUGUUCCGUUCUAUGGGCUCCUUAGAGGAAGGGCUCACUGUGGAUGCAGCUCUUGGCCCCUUGCUGCCUCUGGGACCUCCUGAAAUCUCAGGGAACACUUUCUAAACUUUAAAACAUCUUUCUGGAAUUUCUUCUGCAGAGUUUUGCCACAAACCAAAUACCACAUUUAUUUUAAGCUUGAUUUACCCUCACUGGAGUCUUUCUGCUGACCUCCUUCAGCUCAAAAUUUCGUAACACCCUGUGGUUUUGCAAGCAGUAGAUGCUUGGUUUAAUGGCUACAUUUCAGUCAGUGUCCUAAGAAAACAAACAGAAAGCUCACCUCAGAAGAUGUUUUUUUCCUUUUCAGUUUUCCUUAUAGUAAUUCUGUGGGGAAACUGUAGAAAUACAGUGUACGCACUUGGAUGUAACGAGCAUUUCUUUAAAGCAUUAAAAUCUGUUCUUGCAGGGUAGUCUUUGAUGUCCACCUAGGUCAGACCAUCUCUUCUUCUGGGCUGCUGUCUGCCUCCAAGCAAUCAAUGCCAGAGGUUUCAGAGGAAAAUGUAUAAAGCCAGCCCCAGGCCUCAAACAUGGGCUGUUUGUAGGACACCUUUUCUUGGGGCAGUUUUGCCCAGUCCCAUAGAGUUCAAGAUGAAAUGAACGGCUGGGAGAUGGUGGGCAGUGAUACAGCAUGGAGGUCUGACUUGCUCUCUUCAGCCUGUUGAAAUGUGCCGGAGGUGGGAACAAGGGAAGGCCAGCACUAGCCUGGCCAAGGAUCUCCUGAAGUUUGGAAAACCGGGAAGGAGGAGGAUGGAUAGCGAUGAAGAGAGUUCUGGUCAUCUUCCCUCCUCCCUCCAGUCCUCACCAGGAGAGUAACACGCUGUCACGCAACCGAGCGCUCGCUGAGCUGGAGGUUUUCUCAGCCAACCUCUGUUGCAAUAGAAGACUUGCAGAGUCUGGACUGGUGUCUGUGGCUGUUUGGGCAGCAAAGAGAAUAAGUAAACCAUCCACCACAGGAGAAUCUUGUUUUGAUGUUAAGAUAUGACAAACAACAAACGUAUUAAUGUCUCUAUGAGUAGGUUGGUUUAUUCCCCUUCUUCUUGGGCACAAACCCAUGGGAGCACCCUUGCUCCCAAGGCAGGAUUUGCAGUGAGAAGACCAAGGGGACUCUCCUGUUUUGCAGGCAAGAUGCUGAACAUUACCUACAUAGCAAAGGAAGGACCCUGGAGCAAAUUUGGCAGCUCACCAUCACCUCUGUUAGCACUACUUAGCCUGGCACAGGGCGGAGACAGUGCAGCAGGGCUCUGCUGGCCCUGUGCAGCUCCAGGCUGGCCCCAUCCUGGCUCUCCCCACAGCAGGAUGGCUACCAUGCAGGAGCUGCUGCUGGCUGCGGAACGGGGCCUAAGCACCAGCGUGGGGGGCUGUGAAACCUCUGCCUCCCCAUCCAGCAGCACAACACUGCCUUAGGUCACGUAUUUGUUAUUUGUACCCAGAGAAAUCGGGGUGGGGUGCGGUAGGGAAAUAGUGGAAGUUUAUUUUCCAUGGAAAACGAUGAAAGCCACACGCAAAAUCAAAACCACACCGACCCCUGUGUUGUGCAAAUCCGAGGUUUACAGCAGCUCUGCUUUCUGGCUACAUAAGGCUCUGUGUAUUUAUUUGCUGUGCUGAGCUCCAGGCAGCACUGUGGUACAUCCAGAGGGCACAAUAUGCAUCUGAAUUAGGGUGCGAGCAUCACUCCAGCAGCACGCUGUGUAUGUAGUCACUGGCAGAUCACAGACUUAGUAUGCAUCAGUUCUAACUGGCGCAGGGAGCACCAGGGAGCACCAAAGCUGUUUCAGAAUAAAUCUCUCUCAGUGCUUACGUCUGUUCGUGAAAGUUAUGGCCUUUUAAUCUGCCUCAGAUGCACUGAACUUCUGCAACACGCUCGUUGUUGUUGAUUUAUAAUUCUUCCAAGUGCAUUGAGGGCUUGGAACAAGGUUCAAGGCAGACAGGGCAAAGGGAAAGAGGCCGCAGCAAGCAAGGGCUGAGGUCCCCACUAUUGGCAGUCACCCUCCCCAGCGUGGGCUACCUCAUCUGCUGCCGUGGGCAGCACCUGCAGGGGUGAGAUGAUGUCCUGCCCUGUCCACAGGGGCUGUUGCCAUUGCCCUGCGCCCCUUCAGCACCUGGCUGCCCACCCAGGAGUGGGCUGUGCAUCCCUAGCCUUGGGAAGCAUGAGCAAUUUUGGCACUUUGCUCAGAGAGCCAGGUUUGGCUGCCUCUAGCGUAAAUCACCAGCCAAACCUGGAGGCUUUUUUUGAGGCUGAUGGGUGAAACUGGAUCUGAACCCAGACUCCAGUUCUUCUCACCCAGCACCCCUCUGGGCCAUGCGAUUCCCUUACCUGGUCCAGCCCUGUGUUUACAGGCAGAUGCCACCGCUGGGUUGUGGAGCAAGCCACCAUCUGUGCCCAGCUCUGCUGUGAGCACAGAGCCUCAGGGCACUGGGGGAGCAGCAGUGAACACCGUGCUGCUGGUCCUGUUGUCUGAAUUGUGAAAUGCAAGUCCAGGCAAUUAAAAACUGUCGAAGAGUGUCCCUUUGGGAGCAUCCAGGUGGAAGGAGGAAGGUGAGGGAUCACAGCCAUAGCCGCUCUAGCUGACUGCUUUUCCUGCAGAUGGACAUCAUGAAGACCCCAUGUGUCCAUACAAGGGCCAGGCACACACAUGCACAGGGUGCGAGGCACACGCUGGGCCUGUUGCUUUAAACGUGCCCCGAUUACCAGUUGUAUUAUGCAAAGCGUGUUCUUACAUCACAGCUUUCUGUUCUUACAUCAGUUAUUCCAGGAAGCCUUUCGCAGCAUGAAAUCAGGUGCUAAUUAAAUUGUGGCAGCUGAUACCAGCGAGGCAUUCUCAGCAGCAGUGCUUCUGGAGAGGGGAUGUUAAAUGCAGAAAUUGUGUUAUCUCUGGUGGAUCCAAUGCUAGAGAGGAACUGAAGGGGCUGGUGGAGCCAAAGAGCAGAUUACCUGAGGACACAGCUGCCCCCGCAGGAGGUGGAGCUUAGAUUCAUAGAAUCGCCUAGGUUGGAAGGGACCUUUCAGAUCAUCUAGUUCAACCAUCAACCUAACACUGACAAAAACCAUCACUAAACCAUAGCUCUAAGCACUACGUCUACUCAUCUUUUAAAUACCUGCUUGGCACAAGUCGGCUCACCAGGCACAGGUAGAAUCAUAGAAUCACCAAAUUUUUUAGGUUGGAAAAGACCCUUAAAAUCAUUAAGUCCAACCAUUAACCCAGCACUGCCAAGUCCCCCGCUAAAUCAUGUCCCUCAG